rnacentral:lncRNA from 13 species
CUGGUUUAAAAUCUGCACUUGGUUUCAUGGCGUAUGAUUUUCCAAGAGUCAUGGCUGGAGACAGAGGAUUUGGAGUCGGAAGGAAGUUUGUAAAAGCCUGGCUCCUGCACUACUAUCUUCCCAAAGUUUUGAGAGAAGAUCUGAUUCCCAGACGUCCUCAAAGAUCACUUUCCCGGACAACAGUGAACAAUUAUGCUAUCCCUGAAACUUCCAUAAGGAGAACUGCAUGGUCGUUGAAGCCACAUCACUGACUAAGUGAAAUGAUAGAGUUCCUAUAGCCAAAGAGAGAAAAGCAGAGAUAAUUUGGCUACAAAUGACCAUCGAAACGGGCUAGAGACAAAGAAAAAAAUUAUAUCACAUCAAAAAUAAAUAAAUGAUAAGAUGUUAGGUCA